rnacentral:misc_RNA from 1 species
AUACUCGUGACGUCAAAAUUUUUUCAUCAACAAAUCGAGGAUUCUCGUCAAUAUUUAGCUGCAGAAGAUGUCAUAUGCAUAUUUGUUCAAAUACAUUAUAAUAGGAGAUACAGGAGUGGGAAAGUCAUGCCUUCUGCUCCAGUUCACAGACAAAAGGUUUCAACCUGUACAUGAUUUAACAAUAGGUGUUGAAUUUGGAGCUCGAAUGAUUACCAUAGAUGGUAAACAAAUCAAAUUACAGAUCUGGGACACAGCAGGACAAGAAUCUUUUCGGUCAAUCACCAGAUCUUAUUACAGAGGGGCUGCUGGUGCAUUGUUGGUGUAUGACAUCACAAGGUAAUGUUUCACGCACAGCGUAAGGAGAAUGGGUGGUGGUCAGUGAUGGUCCAUAGAGUUAUCUUUAAAAUGUUUAAGGUUCAUUAAUUCUAAGCAUCAAAGUAGUGCUAUAUCACUAAAUAUGUUAUGUAUAUUCUUCAUUUGUUAAAUGUGUAUAAACAUUGAAAUAAAAAACAAAAAAAAAUUAUGGUGUUUAUGGCAAAUUUGUCCUGCUGAUAAAAUGGAAAAAGAAAAUGGAUUUUUAAAAAGUGUUGAGUAUUGCAAAUUGAGUUAUUGAAACUUAGUGAAAAUCCCAUUGGCCACUUUAAGGUAGAAGUGCUUCACAAAUACCGGUACAUCUUUUGUGGAACAUUAAAAUUAAUCCUUGAUAGCUUGAAAGAAAACCAAUCCUAAUACGUAACAGCAGUGUUUGUAGAUCUUCUAAAUAUGGAUAUUACAGGUAUUGAUGUGUGUGGGUUUUUUUUUAAUGUUACAUUAUGUAACUCAUUAAUCUGGCAACUCCUCUCAGGGAGUCUAAUUAACUGGCGAUUGAUUUCAGUGGAGGAAAUCUACAUCAUGUAAAUAUCAAGUGCUAUACAGUAGGCAUUUAUACAUGCUCUUUCUAAUUUUAGGCGUGACACAUUCAACCAUUUAACAACUUGGCUAGAAGAUGCUCGUCAACAUUCCAACUCAAAUAUGGUCAUCAUGUUGAUAGGCAACAAAAGUGACCUAGAGGCAAGAAGAGACGUGAAAAAAGAGGAGGGGGAGGCUUUUGCCAGGGAACAUGGCUUGAUCUUCAUGGAGACCUCGGCCAAAACAGCAGCAAAUGUAGAAGAGGCAUUUAUUAACACAGCCAAAGAAAUUUAUCAAAAGAUUCAAGAUGGAGUGUUUGAUAUAAAUAAUGAGGCCAAUGGCAUAAAAAUCGGACCCCAGCAUUCCCCAAGCCCCAGCUUGCCCUCCUCCUCAGGUGGUGGAGCCCAGGGAAGUGGCUGCUGCUAGGGCAAGGAAACUCAUUCCUAGGGGAUUGGAAAAACACCUUCAGAGAGAAAGGAAAUAAAAACAAACUCAUAUUCUGUUGCAAUUGGCGUAGAUAUAUCAGUUUUUUGUAAACCAGUCUUGUACAUUCUUGUACUUUCUGUUCCAAGGAAAAACAUGGAUGUUCGAUGGAGUGUGAACUCAUUCUGAUAUUAUCAUUUGUUAAAAGCUAUUUGUUGUGAAAUCCGAUUUGUGUAUAUCACCUAUUAUAUUUGAAAUAAAAUGUGCUGGAAACUGCUGUCAAAAAUAAAUGAGAGAAUUACCAUCAAACACAUGUAUCGUAAGAAAUAUACACACCAUUAUAAUCCUUCUUAUUGGGUUUUAGAUAAGGUAUGAUAUUUAUUGACUAUUUUUUCUCUCUUUAAUAUUUUUUAACCAAAAAAUUUAAAACAUGCAUUCAAUUGGUUUUAUUUCAUGAACUUGUGUUCAUUUUCUUCAUAAAACAAAAGAAUCUGAUUGGUUUUUUGAAACUGUUCACCAUCCUACAAGUGUAGCUGUUGGCUACAGGAAAAGGGGGAAAGUAUUUGAUUGUGACUGAAAGAUUGUCUUGAUGAAAAUGAAUGUACUGAAUGGAUGUGUGCUGAGGAUUUUUUUUUUAUUUAUGGUUGUAAAAUGUGGUUUAUGUAUAUAGAAUUUAUUUUAUAGUCUCUAAUGAUGUAUGAUUUUUUUUUCUUUACUUAAGAAGUGUCUGUAGAAAAUGAAGCUGAGAACCUCCUAUAUGUGUAAAACAAUUUGACAAGCAAAUUGCUUUUAAUUCAAAUCAUGCUAACAUUUGUGCACUUUACUGACAUUGAGAAUAUAUACAUUUAUUUUCAUUUGCUUUCAACUACAGUAGUAAUCAGUAUUUUUAUGCUCUAAAAUACAUGUGAACCAGACACCACUAGAUAUUGAACUGGUACUCUGUUGCCUUUUAAAAUAUUUAAAAUCUCUUGAUAUUAAUCUUAUUAAAUAUUCACGAGGUCAGCUAUGAAAAAGUUCAGAUAAAAAUUGUGAGAAAAACUUGACCUUUUCAUAAAACCAGCAUUUAAUAGAUAUGAAUGCAUUCAUCAAUUGAAAAGUACAUGAAAAAGUUUGACCUUUUAGAAAUCUAAUACUAAUAGUGUCUAUUUAUGGUAUAUAGAACAGUACCAGUGCUAAGUGAUGUCUAGUAAGUUGUAGCUUUAUAAUUAUGUCCUCUCUGUUGUAUGUCAAGUCAAAUCUACUACAUGCAAAAGUUAAUUAAAGACAUGU